rnacentral:rRNA from 1 species
CGCGUAGGCGGCCAGAUAAGUCAGAUGUGAAAGCCCGGGGCUCAACCCUGGAAGUGCAUCUGAAACUGCUUGGCUUGAGUAUGGGAGAGGGAAGUGGAAUUCCUGGUGUAGAGGUGAAAUUCGUAGAUAUCAGGAGGAACACCGGUGGCGAAGGCGACUUCCUGGACCAAUACUGACGCUGAGGCGCGAAGGCGUGGGGAGCAAACA